UAUUCUCAAACUACCUUAGCUUUUGUAGCUGGGAGUAGCUUUGGAUAUGGAGGUUUGCAGGCCCUUUUGAAGGUGUCAGCUCCUCUGAAAUGCAUUAGCGGAACCGUUUGCAAUCUGUUAACUGGUGUGAUAAUAUCUAUGCUAGUGGGAUUGCUCUCAGUCUGUUCAGCUUCUAAUGGUUUUUCCAUUAUGGAAGAUAUAUGAAC
rnacentral:misc_RNA from 1 species